UAGUAACACGUAGCUACCUACCUUUAGGACUUGGAUAACCCCGGGAAACUGGGGUUAAUACUAGAUAGGUGGAAGUUCCUGGAAUGGUUCUCUGCCUAAAUCGUAUUAGAAACAUGCUUCUAAUUCGGCCUAAAGAUGGGGCUACGUCCGAUCAGGUAGUUGGUGGGGUAACGGCCCACCAAGCCUACAACCAGUACGGGCCCUGAGAGGGGGAGCCCGGAGAUGGGAACUGAGACAAGGUCCCAGGUCCUACGGGGCGCAGCAGGCGCGAAAACUCCACAAUGCACAAAUGUGUGAUGGGGUCAUCCCGAGUGCCGUCCGUUGAGGAUGGCUUUUACUCAGUGUAAGGAACUGGGGGAAUAAAGGGGGGGCAAGUCUGGUGUCAGCCGCCGCGGUAAUACCAGCCCCCUGAGUGGUAGGGACGAUUAUUUGGCCUAAAGCGUCCGUAGCCGGCCCGGUAAGUCCUUCGUUAAAUCUGACGAUUCAAUCGUUAGACCGCGGAAGAUACUGCUGGGCUAGAGGAUGGGAGAGGUCGACGGUAGUCCUGGUGUAGGGGUGAAAUCCUAUAAUCCCAGGAGGACCACCAGUGGCGAAGGCGGUCGACUAGAACAUGCCUGACGGUGAUGGACGAAAGCUGGGGGAGCGAACCGGAUUAGACACCCGGGUAGUCCCAGCUGUAAACGAUGCGGGCUAGGUGCUGGAACAGCCACGAGCUGCUCCAGUGCCGCAGAAAAGUUGUUAAGCCCGCCGCCUGGGAAGUACGGCCGCAAGGCUGAAACUUAA
rnacentral:rRNA from 1 species